UGUUGGAUGUGUGUGAGUAUGAGCACCCAAGCGGUAUGAGCGUAAGUGUGAGUUUGAGUGCGAGCGUAAAUGGUUGUUUGAAGCACUCGGACUGAGCCUCUGGCUGUAACUCUCAGCAUUAUGCUAUUGGCAGCUCAAAUGUCAAAGUCGGUCGCACCGGAUUUCUAUGGUUCAUAAAUCCUAAAGGAAAGAUCGGUCUUAAGCAAAUAAAUGAACUGCAUGCCCUGGCCGCACCCAAUUUGAAUAUUUUGAUUUUAGCAAUUGCCCGACUCUUGGGCAAGGCAAAUUAAACUACUCUAAACUUGUUUUUCAGUUUCCGAUAUCCUCACACAAACCCAAAUUUAAUUGAACUCUGGCAUUUAGCCUGCAAGUGUCGCGGUGCAUUUAUUACGGGUAUUCAGCUGAGACAGAUUGAUUAACACAGUACAAUUUGAAAUUUGCGCUUCAGCUGUCGCAUCAACUAAAAGGCAUUAAAUCAAUAUGCAUAUUGCAUAUAUAUUAUGCGUGGUUUUUCAUAUUAAAUUUCAAUUAAUUAAUUUGUGAACUGACAAAGGAAGUCAAUGACAUGUGCAAAAUGCUUAAAUCAUUUUAUUUUGUUAUUUUUUCAUUUCCCUGGCUUUGUUUUGCCCAGUCUAUGAGGAGAAGUCUAUGCGCAGGAAUCAUGGCGCCAAUUGAUGGGUCAAUAUUUUACAUUUCAAUAUAGCCGCAUCCCAUGGGCGGCAUGCGGCACAUUGUUUUUUCGCCUCCGUGUAAAAUUCAAUAUGCAUAAAUUCAUAAAAUACCAACUGCAGCUUUGAUAAAAAAAAAAUAAAUUAACAGAAAAUACAAAAUGUGAAUAUUUAAUUUAGCAGACAGUGUAACCAAAUAGUAUGAGAUGUUGGACACAUGUAGAAAAUACUAAAUGUCAACAAAUGAAAACCAAUUUAAAGCUCGAGGCUGGCUGGAGCAGAGUAUUGCCAAAUCCCCAAACCGGUUAAAUAUACAAAUUAUGCGUUAAUAAAAAUUAUUUCUGCUCGUUUGUGCCGUACCACCGUACCACCACCUUAAACAGCACCGGUUUUUAUACGUCAGUAACCUGAACGAUAUAAUAUAAAUAUUUAUGGUUUCUUUUUCUAACUCUGCCGCCAGCAGCAGUUGUCUGCAGUCCUACCAGAGUUUUUGUAUCUGUUUUGGCUUCUGUUAUCGUAGUCAAUUUGUUUUGUUCAUAAUAACUGACCUUGACUUCCAUUCGAAAGGAAAAGUGAUGCUCCAACUGGCGACUCGGAUUAAAAACCUGUCUUUAAAAGACGCAGCUUCCCAAAAACCUUCAGCAAGAUCAACAUAAUGUAAUGGGGUAAAAAGAAGCUCUGUUGAAGAUAUAUCGAGAAAUUAAUAGCUCCAAUGUACUUAUUAAAACUGUUUGCAAAGUCAUAUUAUAUGUGGUAGAUAUAUUUUCAAAUUGGUUUUCUUCUCAUACUCUCCCAACUCGCAUUUCUCUCUCGCUCUCCCACAGCGGAAUUUAUUACCUGUAAAUGGUAAGCGCCAAUCGUCAAUGGUAAAAACGAGUUUCGAGUUGAUUUUUUAAUAUUGCCUGGCCCAACUGGCCACCAGAAGUAUCGAGUGCAAGUCGCAGUCAGGCCGGCCCAGCUGACCUUGCUUUUAAACAUCUUGUGCUACCGGUAGACCCCUUACUUCCAUGAUAUUGGUCACAGAGGGGCAUUGCUGGGUGUAAUGCAGCUGUUGGCCCUCAACUAGACAGACUCUACAGAACAAUUACCACAGUUCUUUGUCAUUUUAAUAUGGCAAAUACAUAUACAUAUAAUACCCUCGAAUUUGUGCAAAAAUUAAUUAGACUGCGCCACGUCAGUUUCAGUGAGACCCAAUGCGGAAAACACAAAUCAUACAUACUUUCCCAACUAGUUUUACAAUGCCUCGACAAAGAGCUAGGUGUGUCCAUUGUGCAUCAAAUCAGGAAAGUGUUGUGCUUAUCAAUGUGUUGAUAAGUAAAAACAAAAGCAACUAUCUAUUCGCUGACAAUAUAAUAAAAAAGCCAACUUACAAAAAAGGCUGAUGCAAAAAGUUUUCGAAUUUUUGGUUUUCUUUAAUUGAAAAACUCAUUAAAUAAAAUAAUGUAAGCCGAUAUACUUUUUGCAAAUUGCUAGCGUAAAUUGAUGUACAUGGACAAUUAAUUGUUGUUAUAAAUUUUACUCUCUGACUUACAUUACAAAAAAUGUUGUAGAUGAAAUGUUUCAAAGUCACUUUCAAAGUUUUAUCUCUAGCAGCAAAUUAAA